AUUCAACCACGAAGUUUGUCAUUGAACUAUUUGCGUAUUCAAAUACAAAUUAUGUGUAAAUACACUGUGUAGGAAUUUAAUUUAUUAACUAGGUACGUUAAUCUUUGCUUACUUCAACUUGACUUUAUAUUUGUUCCGCAAGUUCUAUUUUUAAAUAUCCAUUAAAAUCAUUAUUCUGUAUACUUACGUGCCAGUUUGAAGUGACAAUAAGCUCAUCUUCCGCAGAAUAUGUAGUGUACGUCACCACAGUCGAUCUUGUUUCAGGGUGAGCAACUCUUACUUAAGAAUUUAUGCUAAUAAAACACUUCAGUAAAAUGCUAAAAUAUCCAUUAACGACAUCACACGCGACAUCCAGUCCAGUUUUGACAGUCAACCAGUUCGUGUUAGCUUACUUAAAUCAAACAAAAUGUAUAAGAAUUAUUUAAUUAUAUUAGUUUUAGCAGUUCUGAUUAAUUUCGGAAAUUGUUGGCAAGUGUUUCCGUUGCCCGAUGCGCCGGCGCCGGUUAAACCCGUAGAUUUUGUGAAGGCAACUCCGGUGUUGCCGAAAACUCCAGUAGUUAGUCCAACAAAUGAAUAUACUCCAAAUAAACUUAAUGUUCGACCAACGAGUGUCAAUGCCGUGCUAUCUAAGCAAAAUGUCAGCGUACCAGCAACGGAUCUGCUCCCACCGAAGAUGAACUACGUCACCUACGAGCAGAAAUAAACCACACAUCAACUAUAAUGACUGAAAAAAUUCAUGGAAUGUUCAACUAUACCUACUCUGCCUAGCAUGCCAGUACAGUGAAAACGAAAAUAUUCGCUCAUAACUAGUUUGCGUUCCAAACUAUGCAAUGGAAUGCAUGUCAAUAAUUUUUUGGAUUUUUGUUUGUUCGUUUGUCGGCUCGUUUGUCUGUCUGUGUGCCUGUCUAUGGACGCACCACUUGAAAAGUAAUGGAUAGAUUUACCUAGUUAAUAUUGACUUGUUGUUACAUUAUAGUUAGGAUAAUUUCGACCAUGAUCAGGUUAACUGGAUGAGGUUAACACCAUAAACAAUAUAAUAUAGGUAGGUACCUAAAUAAUAAUGUACAAAAAUAUAUAAGUAAGAAAAAAUAAUGUAAAGGUUGUGAGAGUUGGUUUUACAGCGCUUUCACACUAGUGGAUUUUCCGCCCGCUUUUUUGUGAUUUGGGCAUUUAAGUUGUGCUGGGUAUAGUGGGUAUACGCGUCAACAAACAACUGACCACUGGAUGCUGGUUCAAACCUGUUACCUCGAGACCAAGCAAAAGUCGUACGCGAAAAAUUGAGAAAAUCCGCUAGUGUGAAGAAGAAACAGUUAGUUUUGUGAAGACGGCAACUUAUAUGACUUUUGUGAUAUGAGGCACAUGUCAAAAACCUAUGAUCGGAAGAUCGCAUUAUUUUACUCCUUUUCUGUACUGUAACUCGACGAAUCGAAUUAGCUUUUUCAGAAAAACUGAUAUUUUAGAAAUAGAUCCCUAAACACCUUUUUAUUGACUUCAGUUUUGUUACAUUUCUUCUCAAUUUUUAUAUUUGAAAGAAUCUGUAUUUAUUUCUGUGGAAUCCCAGACAACUAAUUUACAUAGUAAUUAAUUUUUUUACCAUUAAACUGGGGAAUCCCCUUGUACUUCAAAAAAUUCAAGAAUCAUGGUCGAGUCAAAUGCAAAAAAAAAACAUAUUUCUCAACAAUUGUAUGUUUAUCUGUAUCUGUUAGUUUAAAUUAAAUGUUAUGAAGUUGUGUACAUGUUA